rnacentral:rRNA from 1 species
UGGUGGAGUGAUUUGUCUGGUUAAUUCCGUUAACGAACGAGACCUCCGCGUGCUAAAUAGUUCCGCUUACAGUUUUUGUAGGUAGGGACUUCUUAGAGGGACUUUUGGGUAAUCAAACCAAAGGAAGUUGGAGGCAAUAACA